rnacentral:rRNA from 1 species
GAUGAACGCUGGCGGCGUGCCUAAUACAUGCAAGUCGAGCGAACGGACGAGAAGCUUGCUUUUCUGAUGUUAGCGGCGGACGGGUGAGUAACACGUGGAUAACCUACCUAUAAGACUGGGAUAACUUCGGGAAACCGGAGCUAAUACCGGAUAAUAUUUUGAACCGCAUGGUUCAAAAGUGAAAGACGGUCUUGCUGUCACUUAUAGAUGGAUCCGCGCUGCAUUAGCUAGUUGGUAAGGUAACGGCUUACCAAGGCAACGAUGCAUAGCCGACCUGAGAGGGGGAUCGGCCAAACGGGAAAUGAGACCCGGUCCAAACCCCCAGGGGGGGACGAAGUGGGGAAUUUUCCCCAAGGGGCGAAAGCCUGACGGAGCAACGCCGCGGGAGUGAUGAAGGUCUUCGGAUCGUAAAACUCUGUUAUUAGGGAAGAACAAAUGGGUAAGUAACGGUGCCAAUUUUGACGGUACCUAAUCAAAAAGCCCCGGCUAACUACGU